AUGCAGACUGGUGGAUUAAUAUUCCACAAACUCGUUAUUAACCAAGUUUCCCAAGAUUAUUCAUCUCAAUUCAGAUUUCAUAUAGCUCGUGGUUUCUCUUACUUCUCCAAGAGUACCUACUAUGUUCCUAUCAUCAACAUAGAUAACUAUAAUUGCAAAUCCGGAACUCUUUCCUCUAUGAGUACGCAAGGGCAUAGUUCAUAAUUUUGUAUCCCUUUCCACUCAAGUAGUCACUUGUAUAAAGUGAGCGUUUCAAUUCUAAUUACAAACGCACUCUGUGGUUUAGAGUUACUUGAGUUGGAUAGUUUAACGCACUCUGUGGUUUAGAGUUACUUGAGUUGGAUAGUUUAACGCACUCUGUGGUUUAGAGUUACUUGAGUUGGAUAGUUUAAGGCCAUCGGGCACUUUUAUGGAUAUCUCCCAAUCAAGAUCCCCAUGGAGAUAAGUAGUAACCACAUAGAUGAGCUGCAUUUCCAUUAUGGGAGAUUAUUUCUCCUCAUUGUCAAUCCAGAGUGUUGCGAGAAACCUUGGCGCCACAAGGCGAGCCUCUUUCUUUAGGGCUUCAUUCUUCUCAUUACGCUUUAUGACAAAGACUUUUUUAUGUCCUACGGGCUUUACACUUGGUAAGGUUAGCACUACCAAACCAAAUACCUGUCUCUUUGUUAGAGAAUCUAGUUCUUCCUAGAUCGCACUUUUAUGUAGGCCAAUAUGCUCUUUGUUAACAUUUUUC
rnacentral:lncRNA from 1 species